UACGUAGGGUGCAAGCGUUAAUCGGAAUUACUGGGCGUAAAGCGUGCGCAGGCGGUUUUGUAAGACUGUCGUGAAAUCCCCGGGCUUAACCUGGGAAUUGCAUUUGUGACUGCACGGCUAGAGUGUGUCAGAGGGGGGUAGAAUUCCACGUGUAGCAGUGAAAUGCGUAGAUAUGUGGAGGAAUACCGAUGGCGAAGGCAGCCCCCUGGGAUAACACUGACGCUCAUGCACGAAAGCGUGGGGAGCAAACAGG
rnacentral:rRNA from 1 species